AUUGCUUCUUGGCCUUUUGGCUAAGAUCAAGUGUAGUAUUUGUUCUUAUCAGUUUACUAUCUGGUAUGUCCUCUAGCCGAGGACAAUACACUGAGUGGCCAGAUUAUUAUGAUCUCUGAACACAUAAUAAUAUGGCCACUCAGUGUAUAUCCUAUAUAAUAAAAGGCUAAUAUGCAAAUUAUC